AGGAAGGGUUGGAUGACUGUGAAAUUCUACAGGCAAGGAGGCCCGGGAGAGACCCUGCUCAAGCAGGAAACAUAUGGAGAAAACCCAAGGACUGUAACCCUAAGGAGGAUCCAAUGUAUGCAGAAUCAUUAUGACUGGUCCCUGAAGUUUGGCUACAGAAAAGGAGACUGACAUCUGCACUGGGACUCUGCACAUCUUCAACCCUCAUCAUCAAUACACCUCUGCCCAAAUGGCCUAAAAAGAUCUGGGGGCUUUUGCAAUAUGCCUGGAAGAUUAAGAAACCUGACUUUACCAACUAACAAAGUAUCAGGUAACUCCUCUUAAAAGUCUCUCCUCUCUGUUUCCAUCACAAACCCAAAUCUGUCAUUUACAACAG